AGUGAACGCUGGCGGUAGGCCUAACACAUGCAAGUCGAACGGCAGCACAGUAAGAGCUUGCUCUUACGGGUGGCGAGUGGCGGACGUGUGAGGAAUACAUCGGAAUCUACUUUUUCGUGGGGGAUAACGUAGGGAAACUUACGCUAAUACCGCAUACGACCUACGGGUGAAAGCAGGGGAUCUUCGGCCCUUGCGCGAUUGAAUGAGCCGAUGUCGGAUUAGCUAGUUGGCGGGGUAAAGGCCCACCAAGGCGACGAUCCGUAGCUGGUCUGAGAGGAUGAUCAGCCACACUGGAACUGAGACACGGUCCAGACUCCUACGGGAGGCAGCAGUGGGGAAUAUUGGACAAAGGGCGCAAGCCUGAUCCAGCCAUACCGCGUGGGUGAAGAAGGCCUUCGGGUUGUAAAGCCCUUUUGUUGGGAAAGAAAAGCAGCAGGUUAAUACCCCGCUGUUCUGACGGUACCCAAAGAAUAAGCACCGGCUAACUUCGUG
rnacentral:rRNA from 1 species